rnacentral:rRNA from 1 species
CCUACGGGGGGCAGCAGUGGGGAAUAUUGCACAAUGGGCGCAAGCCUGAUGCAGCCAUGCCGCGUGUGUGAAGAAGGCCUUCGGGUUGUAAAGCACUUUCAGCGGGGAGGAAGGCGGUGAGGUUAAUAACCUCAUCGAUUGACGUUACCCGCAGAAGAAGCACCGGCUAACUCCGUGCCAGCAGCCGCGGUAAUACGGAGGGUGCAAGCGUUAAUCGGAAUUACUGGGCGUAAAGCGCACGCAGGCGGUCUGUCAAGUCGGAUGUGAAAUCCCCGGGCCCAACCUGGGAACUGCAUUCGAAACUGGCAGGCUAGAGUCUUGUAGAGGGGGGUAGAAUUCCAGGUGUAGCGGUGAAAUGCGUAGAGAUCUGGAGGAAUACCGGUGGCGAAGGCGGCCCCCUGGACAAAGACUGACGCUCAGGUGCGAAAGCGUGGGGAGCAAACAGGAUUAGAUACCCCGGUAGUC